rnacentral:lncRNA from 1 species
GUUCUUCCACUGCCAACAAGUUUUUUGUGGCCUGCACAUUUGGUUCUCUCGGAUAUUCACGUCCAAACACCUCAACCACAAGACGGGCAAACUUGACAGUAGUCUUCAGGGAUGUGUUCUCCCGCAUCCUAACCAUCUCAUCAACGACAUCUAUCGCAAUACCAAGUACAAGCAUUCUCACAGCAGCCGUGCACUUCUGCUUGGCAAAGAAAGAGAGUUUACUAC